AUUGAACGCUGGCGGCAUGCCUUACACAUGCAAGUCGAACGGCAGCGGGGGAGAAGCUUGCUUUUCCUGCCGGCGAGUGGCGAACGGGUGAGUAAUACAUCGGAACGUGCCCUGUAGUGGGGGAUAACUAGUCGAAAGAUUAGCUAAUACCGCAUACGACCUGAGGGUGAAAGAGGGGGACCGCAAGGCCUCAUGCUAUAGGAGCGGCCGAUGUCUGAUUAGCUAGUUGGUGGGGUAAAGGCCUACCAAGGCGACGAUCAGUAGCUGGUAUGAGAGGACGAUCAGCCACACUGGGACUGAGACACGGCCCAGACUCCUACGGGAGGCAGCAGUGGGGAAUUUUGGACAAUGGGCGAAAGCCUGAUCCAGCAAUGCCGCGUGUGUGAAGAAGGCCUUCGGGUUGUAAAGCACUUUUGUCCGGAAAGAAAUGGCUCUGGUUAAUACCUGGGGUCGAUGACGGUACCGGAAGAAUAAGGACCGGCUAACUACGUGCCAGCCGCCGCAGUAACAC
rnacentral:rRNA from 1 species